rnacentral:SRP_RNA from 1 species
ACCCGGUCCCUUCGCAACGCUAGGUCGUGAACCCCGCCAGGCCCGGAAGGGAGCAACGGUAACAACUGAUGCGUGUGCCGGAGCGUGGCUGUGUGGG